rnacentral:rRNA from 1 species
AUUGAACGCUCGCGGCAGGCUUAACACAUGCAAGUCGAACGAGCGGCGGACGGGUGAGUAAUGUAUGGGGAUCUGCCUGAUGGCGGGGGAUAACUACUGGAAAUGGUAGCUAAUACCGCAUACCAUCAGAGGAACCCAUAUGGGAUUAGCUUGUAGGUGAGGUAACGGCUCACCUAGGCGACGAUCCCUAGCUGGUCUGAGAGGAUGAUCAGCGACACUGGGACUGAGAAACGGCCCAGACUCCGACGGGAGGCAGCAGUGGGGAAUUUUGCACAAUGGGGGCAAGCCUGAUGCAGCCAUGCCGCGUGUAUGAAGAAGGCCUUCGGGUUGUAAAGUACUUUCAGGCGGGAGGCGUUACCGACAGAAGAAGCACCGGCUAACUCCGUGCCAGCAGCCGCGGUAAUAC